rnacentral:tRNA from 1 species
GGCCGACUAGCUCAGUUGGUUAGAGCGUGGUACUAAUACUCGUGAGUGUUAUGCCAAGGUCGUCAGUUCGAUCCUGGCGUUGGCCA